AUUUGCAGACAGACGAAGCUAUAGAGAGGGACAAUGCAAGUAACCUCAAAUGAGAGUGUGGAAAGGCGGGAAAGCAGCCAGAGCUUCAUUGUUAUGAAAAAAGAGUGAAAUGUGCUCUGUUGAAGAGUUGAAGAAUGAACAAAGGAUAUUUAGUUUGAAUGGAAGCUCAGUAAUGAGAAAUGAGAAUGGUUGAGUUCUUAAAAGAAGCAAGUAAAGAAGAGGAUUUGUGGGCUACUAAUCUCAUUCAGUGAAUCUCAUACGACCCUUGCCUAGUGUUAAAUAUGUUAAUGAAUUCAUGUCAUGCUGCUCAGUCUUACUAGCCUUCAUCAUCCAGAGUAAAAUGCAUAUGAUUCCUAUGAAAAUUUGUGGAAAGGAAUAUAUUAAUAGGUUAGAAGAAUUAGAAGAAUGAAAAGAAAUAAUUUUUGCUUUUUAAAUGGAGAAUCAUGCAUAUUUGGAGACACAAGGGAAGAAGCCCAUGGAGAAGGAGAGAUGAAGCUGUAAAAGAAAGAUGCUAUGAAUGUGCUCUCGACAGGAUAUCAUAGAGACUGCUAGUCAGCGGAACAUGUUAUCCUAAUAUAGGUAUAUUUAUACAAGAUUUAAAAUAAAGAUUUUUCUAUUUUCUUAAUAUGUGUCUAGAAGUUAAAUAAACAUUAUAAUCACAGAAGUCAGAUAAAAAGAAAUUCAUAGUC
rnacentral:lncRNA from 1 species